UCCGGUCUGGUCCAGUCCAGUGCUAAGUGCUAGCUCAAACUCAGACGACUCACUCCCUCUACUGUCUACUGUCUCCCCUUUCACUUCUACUCUCUCUCUUCGAUCAAUCUCUCCAAUCUCUUUCCUCCUUUAGGGUUUGCAGUCUCAUCAAAGUCCAAAUCUAUGUGAAGAAGUCUGAAAUUUUCUGAAGAGAGAUGUCUGAUGUAAGCCCCAUGCGCAUUGAUGGGAGCACCACUGGCCAUGGUGAUAGUGGUGGAAAUGCAACAGCUGAUACGUCAUCACAAGGGAACCAAGGCCUUACUACUCCAUGCCCACCCAAUGUGAGUACUACUGCUGAAGCUGCUACUAAGGGUAGAAAAAGAUCUUGGGUUUGGGAACAUUUUACUAUGGUUGGAGGUGGAGAUUCUAAAAAAGCAAGAGCGGCUUGUAAGUAUUGUGGGACUGAUUAUGCAGCUACUAGCGCAAAUGGGACAAAAAACUUGAUUGCACACAUUUUAAAGCAAUGCAAGAAAUACCCAAAUAGCAUAGGUAAGAGCCAAAGCACCCUAGCAUUUGAAUUUACUACUGAUGGAGGUAGUGGUGAUCUUUUUGCGGUACCUUUUAGUGUUGAGGAUUGUAGGCGAGCAUUAGUUGAGAUGGUGAUCCUAGAUGAGCUUCCAUUUAGGAUUGUGGAGGGUGAAGGUUUUAAGAGAUUUAUGCGUGUAGUUUGUCCCAAGUGGACUACAAAUAAAAUACCAAGUCGGAUGGCAAUUGCAAGAGAUUGUUUCAAUGUCUUUUUGAGGGAAAAGAAGAAGCUGGGGAAAGCUCUUAGGGGCCAAAGAAUUUGCCUUACCACAGAUACUUGGACAUCUGUGCAAAAUUUAAACUAUAUGUGUCUCACGGCACACUUUAUUGAUGACAAUUGGACAUUGCACAAAAGAAUAAUCAAUUUUUGUGUAGUGGACAACCACAAAGGUGUCACACUUGGAAGGGCAGUUGAAUCGUGUUUGUUUCAAUGGAAGCUGAAGAAGAUUCUUACUCUUACUGUUGACAAUGCAAGUUCCAAUAGUAGUUUGAUUGAGUUCUUGAAGGAUAAGACGAAAGAAAAGAAGGAUACUCUUCUAGAAAAUGAGUUCUUGCAUGUCAGAUGUUAUGCUCAUAUUUUGAAUCUUAUAGUUCAUGAGGGGUUAAAAGAACUGGAUGAGUCGAUAGCAAAGAUAAGGAAUGUUGUGAGGUAUGUAAGAUCUUCACCACAAAGGUGGAGUAAACUUCAGGCAUGUGCGGAGAGGGAGACAAUAUCAAGUAAAAGUCAACCUUGCCUAGAUGUACCAACAAGGUGGGACUUUACUUACAUGAUGUUGGAUAAGGCCCAAAAAUUUCAAAAGGCGUUUGAAAGAUUGGAGGAGGUUGACAAGAAUUUCCUCCCUACUUUGAGAGAGGGGGAGGAGGACGAAGAUGGUGAUGAUGGAAAUUGUGGGCAAAGUAAGAAAGGUAAGAACGUUUUUGGGCCUCCGGAGAGGGAAGAUUGGAUCAAAGUUAGGUUGUUUGUGAAGUUCCUUCAACUUUUUUAUGAUGCUGCAUUGCGGUUUUCAGGCUCCAAGGCUGUUACUGCAAACCAAUUUGUUCCAGAAUUGAUGUUGAUUCGAGAUACAAUCGAAGAGGAGUGUUUAAAUGAGAAUGAGUCAUUGAAGAAAAUGGCGAUGGAUAUGAAAUCAAAAUUUAAUAAAUAUUGGGAGAAUCUUGACAAUCAAAAUUUAUUGUUGUAUGUUGCAGUUGUUCUUGAUCCUCGAUACAAAUUGCGAUAUGUUCAUUUUGCUUUUAAGGGACUCUAUCAUGAUAUUUCUAAGGUGGAUGAGAAGACAGAACAAGUGAAAGAUGCUUUGGUUCGAAUGUAUGAAGCAUACCUGAAAAAUGAGAAGGGAAGGGAUGCACAAAAUAAUAUGUCUACACAAUUGUCGCAGGGGUCAAGUGGAAGUAGUAGCAGUGGGCCUUUGAGUGUGAGACGAUCUUUGAGGAUGGCUCAAUUUAUGAGAGAAAUUGAGGAGGAGAAUUCUUUAGAGAAGAAGUCUGAGGUGGAAAGGUAUUUAGAAGAGGGUUUGGCAAAACUUGAUGGAUAUUUUGAUAUAUUGAAUUGGUGGAAGGCUAAUUCUUGUAGAUUUCCUGUGCUUUCCUUGGUUGCUCGUCAUGUUCUUGCAAUCCCUGUAUCAACUGUAGCUUCUGAAUCUGCAUUUAGCAUAGAAGGCCGUGUGCUUGAUCCUUUUCGCAGCUCUUUGUCUCCUAGGAUGGUUGAGGGCCUCCUUUGUGCGCAAGAUUGGCUUCGUUCUUCUUCUACUCCAAUAAGCCUUCAAAAGGCACUGGAAGAUGUUGAGGAAUUUGAAAAGCUUGACUCAGAACUUGGUGAACUUACGAUUGCGGAUGAAGAAAAUCCUAAUGCAUCACUAGUAAAACAACAGCAGCAGCAGCAGCAACAACAAGAAGUACCAACGCUAACAUGGCCAGAGAAUAGCGAGCUUGAUCUUGAUUGGAUCAAGAAUCUGAUAUCGACCUUUGACUGGUCUUCCAAGAAUCUACCACCCUCGGAAUUCCAGUCAGUACUUCCAGUUCAAGUCUUUGAUACUCUGAUUCUUGCCGCAUCGAAGAUCCUCCACGAGGAACCUAAUUGUCUCACAAUUGAUCCUGACAAGUCGAGCACUGUCGUUGUUGUCGGUGACAUUCAUGGCCAAAUGCAUGAUCUCAUCUUUCUAUUGAAACAAGCUGGGUUUCCUUCUCAAAAUCAAUUCUUUGUAUUCAAUGGUAAUUAUGUCAAUCAUGGAGCUUGGGGCCUUGAGACUUUUCUUCUCUUGUUGGCCUGGAAGGUCUUUAUGCCAGAUAGAGUAUUUCUUCUCCGUGGAAAUCAUGAAUCCAAGUAUUGCACCUCUGUUUAUGGCUUUGAGAAGGAGGUGCUGACAAAAUAUGGAGAGAAAGGUGAGCAUGUGUAUCAGAAAUGUUUGGGGUGCUUCGAAGGGCUUCCUUUGGCCUCUGUUAUAGCGGGAUGUGUAUUUACCGCUCAUGGAGGGCUUUUCCGCAGCAUACCUUUGACCCAAUCAAAGACAUCGAAAGGGAAGAAGAAGAGUCGUAAACUAAGUUCCAACUCUGAGCCCGAGUCAUUAUCUCUUGGUUCUUUGGAGGAAUUAUCUAGAGCUCGAAGGUUUGUUCUUGAUCCUCCAGUUGAAGGCUUAAAUCUGAUUCCUGGUGAUGUGCUAUGGUCAGACCCAUCAAUGACUCUUGGUCUUUCUCUGAAUAAAGAGCGAAACAUUGGACUAUUGUGGGGUCCUGAUUGCACUGAAGACUUCCUCAAAAAGUUCAAUCUAAAGUUAAUCAUCAGAUCACAUGAAGGCCCUGAUGUGAGGGAAAAGAGGACUGGUUUUGGAGGAAUGGAUGAAGGAUAUACCAUUGAUCAUGUUGUGGAGUCAGGGAAGCUGAUCACUGUGUUUAGUGCUCCAGACUACCCGCAGUUUCAGGCAACAGAGGAAAGAUACAAAAAUAAAGGGGCGUACAUUGUUCUGGAACCCCCUAAUUUUGAUAAUCCAAAUUUUUACAGCUUUGAAGCAAUAGCUCCAAGACCACAGGUAGUUAAUAACACUCAUUUUUAAUUGGAAAAAAAUGAUGAUUAUUUUCAGGUUUUAUACAAAUUUUCCGAGAGUCUGAGGAUAAUCAAAGCGGCAAGCUCCAUAAUCGCGGGUGAAUCCCUAUUAUGACUACGUAAAUGUGAUUGACUCUAAUAAAGAAUUGGACCUGGCAUCAAUGGAUCCUAUUGAGGAACUUCCAUAGGUUGACAAUCAAACACAGCUACAAGGAGGCGAAUCAGUGUUCUGAUGCACUGGCUAAGUUUGGCACUAGCCAAUCUACUGACUAUGUUAUUUUUGAUAGCCCACCACUUGUGGUGGAAAAUUUGCUGGCUUUUGAUAAAUCUGAGCUAUUUAUAAUAGAUUUAUUUGCAGUUAAUAUAUUUGCACUGUCGUAUUAUCAUUAUAUGAUAUUUUGGAUGAUACUUCCCAAGCUAGUAGCAGAUAUGUAGAUGUAAAAAAUUAAAAAUGAUUUGGUCAUGUUCAAUGUCUUAGGAGUUCAUGGAUUUAAGUAUAUGAGUUGGGUUCAAGUUGUAUAUGGAGUAAAAUUUAUGAGUGUACAUCACUUAAUAACUUUUUACUGGAUUCUUCAAAUUUAUUAUUAGAUUGCAUUAUCUCAUUUCAAGUUA